UGGAAUGAGGUUUCGAACCUGAAACCGUCCGGUCGCGAAGCCGAGACCUUGCCACUAGGCCAGCUCC